rnacentral:lncRNA from 1 species
CAGAAGAGAAGUUCUAACAACUGACAAGAGCUGGAGUUGAGAAGCAAGGAGCAACAGCAAUGGUGAAAAGGAGCAAACAUGUGCCUUGCCCCUCAAUUUUUCACAUGCAAAGACAAUCUACACAGUUUUACAAGGGCUGUGUCCAUACUGAUGAAAUCGUGGAUCCCUGAAGUGUCGAGGAAGAUGCAAAGAGUACAUUCCAAGAGCAAGUGCAAGCAUGAGAAAAAGGAAGGCAUCUAGGUGCUGCAAUCAAUAGAAUACUGGGCUUGGCUGGUAUUAAUAAGAUCAAAGUUCAAAUCAUCCUGGCACUCCAUAGCUGUAUGAUCCUGAGUAAGUCUCAUAAGCUCUAUCGCCUUCAGGUUUCUCAUCUGUAAAGUGAGGCUAAUGAUAA